UGAAAUAGCGGUGCCCCCGCAUCUAAACGUGCCCGAUCAUUCAGGUCCCUCUUCUCUUUCCUUAGUUUUUGUAAAGCAGCACUCUUUCUAGCGCUUUCCCCGCAGCUCACACCGAGGGAGUGGGUGAGGCUCAGUGAAACAAGUAAACACACCCGAGUCGUGCUCAUAUUUCCCCUUUCCUGCUCAUAGAAAGUUGCGGCAAAGCUGAAAAAAAAAGGCGUCUUUUUCCACCUUUUUCCGGUUUCUCUUUGCUCGUCUUUUUUCCCUUUCAGAUCUCUCGCUGGGGGAUUUGUGCAGGAGUUGCGGUUGAGAAAAAGAGUUCAUCCGCUCUUCUCUUGUAGUUUGCGGUUUCCCUUUUGUACUCGUCCCCUCUUUCUCAAUUUUUUUUUCGUGCUGCUUUUCCCCCUUUGUAUCACACACACGCACAGCGCACACUCAAACGAUUCUAGCGUGGAGGAUAGGAUUGCUGCUCUAAGAGAGAUCUAAAGCAGCUCUUCCCUCUUCUCCAGCACGGUACUUUCGUAAAACGUACAUUUACACACACACACACACAGGAGGCCCUACGCAAUUCUCUCAUAGUGAAUAUGCUUAACGAUUUGCUAUUUCUGAGUGGGUUCAAGAAGCGUUGGCCUAUUCUCAGCGAGGAGGAGAUCCGCAUGCACAACACGCGGCGAUCUUUGUGGAUUGUCUCUGGGAACUCAGUGUACGAUGUUACAGGGGUGCUAGGAUCGCAUCCAGGCGGUGAGGCGGCUAUCCUGCGGCGUGGCGGCGGGUCGAAAAACUGUGAAGCCGACUACACGUUUCACAGCCGCUACGCACGCCGGGAGUGGGACAAUCGAAAAGUAGGGGAAAUCACACCUGAGGUUGCUCUGAGACUGUUCCCACCACGUACCGGGGCACACGAGGAGAAUGCCCGAUCUGUCACAGCAUGUGCUGCAGGAUCGCCACCAGUGGGUAUCUCGCGAGUUCACAUGAACAGCGGCGAGGAGAGCCAUACGCGCACAGUCGACACGUACGCUAGCACCACAGCGACACCAGACCAGCAGUAUCGCCGCACCGAUUUCUCACCGUGCCCACAGCGGGUACGCUGAGCAUCUUGGAUUGCGGUGUUCAUGCACCACUGUCUGCUCAAGCUCGGCCACGGCGCGACGUUUUGCAGAGCCGAGGCCUAACGCGUUACUCUCACAUUCCUUCUACUAGCGCCUUCUGUUGCUACUAUUUCUAUGUGACACAGAGGGAUCGGAACGGCGAGCAAGCACGCUAGUGGACACAUUUCGCAGUACUUGUCCAUCACUACUUGUUUAGCUGUCGAGGCGCACGAAUACCUUUCCUGUAUGUAUGUGUGUGCGCGCGCGGUCGUGGGCAUCAUUCAACUCACUUGUGAAUGUCCCCCAAAAAAAAAACAAACAAAAUUCAACAGCGCUCUUGUUUUCAUUUCUUUCUUGGUAGCUGCUCUGAGAUGGGGCAGGGGGAGAGAAAGAGUAUGUAAGGCUGGCGGAGAGAACAAGCGAGGUUUGCGGGUCCGCGCGUGUUUGGCAAUGUGAUAUGAGCCUUUUUUCACUGUUCUCCGGUUGUUCGGAACGCACCAUUUGCUCUCUCCUGCGUUUCUCUCUCUGGGCUACCCACCUUCGUACUUUGUUUCUUCGACUUCAUCGCUUCUUUUUUUUCUACCCACAUAUGUGCAUGUGCGUGUAUCUACGCACGUGUGAUCAACUUCUUCUGUUUAUGCCUUGCUUCUCCGUUCACGGCUUUCCACUCUCUGGCCCUCGCUGUGUCUACGCAG
rnacentral:misc_RNA from 1 species